rnacentral:ncRNA from 1 species
GACGGUAGAGGCGCAAUAUUUAAAAGUAUUAUUAUGGAGAUUUAAGCUGUCUGUGAAGUAAUAAGAAAGGAAACAUUGCCGAAAUGUGUAAUUCUUAGCUUAAGGUUAUAUGUUGGGCAUACAUAGAAUAUAUGUAUGACUGUCACAAAUGUGUAUUUUGUGUUGAGCUAUC